rnacentral:SRP_RNA from 1 species
GCUGGGUGCGGUGGCAUGUGCCUGCAGUCCCAGCUACUCGGGAGGCUGAGGUGGGAGGAUUGCUUGAGCCCAGGAGUUCUGGGCUGUAGUGCACUAUGCUGAUUGGGUGUCUGCACUAAGUUCGGCAUCAAUAUGGUGACCUCCAGGAGCAGGGGACCACCAGGUUGCCUAAGGAGGGGUGAACCAGCCCAGGUCGGAAAUGGAGAAGGUCAAAACUCCCAUGCUAAUCAGUAGUGGGAUCAUGCCUGUGAAUAGCCACUGCACCCCAGCUUGGGCCACAUAGUGAGACCCUAUCUCU